UGCAACGAACAGAGGACCAAAACAAUUCAGUCGAAAUAUCAGCCAUACCAUAUCAAUAUACACCUAGCAUUAGUCUAGAGGAUGUGUGUUGAAAGAUUGUAAACUGUUCAAUACAUCUUACAAUUGCUUGAUCCAUGAUGAUUUAAUGGACCAAAAGUUCCAUAAAAUGCACAACAAGUACGAGUAAAGUAUAGCAAUUGAUAAGUCAAUGUGCUUGUACAUGAUAAGUCAAGACAGAGAAGGCAUUACUUGGUACAAGGUAUAUAUAUAAAAUAUUUCCAUAAUAGCUAACCUAACAUUUUUAAAAAAAUCCAAUACGAGUAAAGUAUAGCAAUUGAUAAGUCAAUGUGCUUGUACAUGAUAAGUCAAGACAGAGAAGGCAUUACUUGGUACAAGGUAAAUAUAUAAAAUAUUUCCAUAAUAGCUAACCUAACAUUUUUAAAAAAAUCCAAUCAAAAUCUCAGUAUUCUAAAAUAUUUUUGAGUUAAUCUACAUCUAGCAUUUUCAUUCAUCCUAAAGAUCAUGACUUAGAUGCAAAGAACAUGCAACUUGGUAGCAAUACUAAGCAUUUCCAAUAAUAUAAGAAAAAUUUAAUACUGGAACACAUAUAACUGGCACAAUCAAUUAUGAUUUUCAAUUGUAAUGUAGUAC
rnacentral:lncRNA from 1 species